rnacentral:RNase_P_RNA from 1 species
GCAGUUGGUCGGACGGUCGCGGCAAUGCCGAGGAAAGUCCGGGCUCCUUAGGGCAGGGUGGUGGCUAACGGCCACCCAGGGUGACCUGCGGGAAAGUGCCACAGAAAACAAACCGCCGCUUUGCGGUAAGGGUGAAAAGGUGAGGUAAGAGCUCACCGCGGCUCAGGUGACUGGGCUGGCAUGGUAAACCCCACCCGGAGCAAGACCGAGCAGCAGGAAGGUGGUCCGCUUUCGCCUGCGGGUAGGUUGCUAGAGGUCAGCAGUAAUGCUGGUCCAAGAUGGAUGACCGUCUAUUACAGAACCCGGCUUAUAGACCAACUUUGGGA